GACGAACGCUGGCGGCGUGCUUAACACAUGCAAGUCGAACGGAAAGGCCCUGCUUUUGUGGGGUGCUCGAGUGGCGAACGGGUGAGUAACACGUGAGUAACCUGCCCUUGACUUUGGGAUAACUUCAGGAAACUGGGGCUAAUACCGGAUAGGAGCUCCUGCUGCAUGGUGGGGGCUGGAAAGUUUCGGCGGUUGGGGAUGGACUCGCGGCUUAUCAGCUUGUUGGUGGGGUAGUGGCUCACCAAGGCUUUGACGGGUAGCCGGCCUGAGAGGGUGACCGGCCACAUUGGGACUGAGAUACGGCCCAGACUCCUACGGGAGGCAGCAGUGGGGAAUAUUGCACAAUGGGCGGAAGCCUGAUGCAGCAACGCCGCGUGCGGGAUGACGGCCUUCGGGUUGUAAACCGCUUUCGCCUGUGACGAAGCGUGAGUGACGGUAAUGGGUAAAGAAGCACCGGCUAACUACGUG
rnacentral:rRNA from 1 species